GAGUUUGAUUCUGGCUCAGGAUGAACGCUGGCGGUAUGCCUAACACAUGCAAGUCGAACGAAGUCUUCGGACUUAGUGGCGGACGGGUGAGUAACGCGUGAGAAUCUGCCUUCAGGAUGGGGACAACAGUUGGAAACGACUCCCCCGGGGCGGAUGUGCCCUUGGGUGAAAGUUAUUUCGCCUGAAGAGGAGCUCGCGUCCGAUUAGCUAGUUGGUGGGGUAAAAGCUUACCAAGGCAACGAUCGGUAGCUGGUCUGAGAGGAUGAGCAGCCACACUGGGACUGAGACACGGCCCAGACUCCUACGGGGAGGGCAGCAGUGGGGAAUUUUCCGCAAUGGGGCGAAAGCCUGACGGGAGCAAUCCGGCGUGGAGGGGAGGAGGCUUUUGGGGUUGAAACCUCUUUUUUUCAGGAAGAAGCAAUGACGGACUGGAGAAUCAGCAUCGCAACUCCGUGCCACGCCCGGUAUCCGAGAAGCAGCUUUUCCGAACCUGGCCUAAAGCCCCCGGGGCCUCCAUCGUGCAAACAAAAUUAUUUCGGCGGGGGACUGUAACUAA
rnacentral:rRNA from 1 species